CAUAUCAUAUUGAAACACCGGUUCUCAUACGUUCACCGAAGUUAAGCAACGCCGAGCCUGGUAAGUAUCUAGAUGGGUCACCGCUUGGGAAUAUAAGAUGCUGUAAG